rnacentral:lncRNA from 1 species
CGUUUCAUUUAUUUUUUUAAAAAUAAAAUUAGUUGGAAAUGUGAAUCUACUAGAAUUCAAAUUUGAAACUGCAGGUGCACUCUCAUUCAUCUUUUAAUUUCUUAAAAGUAAUUUGAUAUUUUAAUUUGGAUGUUAAAUUUUUUAAUAGUAGUUAUAUAGUUAUAUAGUUAUUCAAUUUAGUAAAUAAGUUUAAGAUAGUUUUCAAAUAGUUUUUUUCAAAAUUUUAUUUUAAAUUUUUUAAAAAUUAUAAAGUGUAAUGAAACUUUGGGAAAAAAAUGUUGUUGUUCGAGCCCAAUAGUGAGGAUCAGAUUGAUGAAGUAGCAUUUCUCUUUCCGAGCAUAGCAAUGUAAUUUAUUUUUUUUUUUAAAUUCAAUAAAAAUACAUAUAAUAUUCACUAUUAAAAAAAAAAAUUCUGCUAUGUAUCCACUAAGGCCGGCAAAUGAGCGAACCGGCUCGUGUUUGGCUUGCAUUUGGCUCGAUAUUUGGCUAGCUCGAGCUCGACUCGAAAUUAAAUGAGUCGAGCUUGAACAGAAAAUAAAACUUGAAAUAUAUUUGAAGCCGAACUUGAGUAUUACUGAGCACGCUCAAAUUGGGCUCGAAAAGUUUGAAUAUAUAUAUAGUUUCUGGACACUUUUAAUAGUUUAGAUCAAUUUUAACUGUUUCGAUCAUCGAUUUAGAAUUCCCAUUAUCUAAAACGACUUAAGAGGAUGAAGAUCUUUAUCCUCUUAAAAAGAAUAGUAAUUGAAUUCUAUAUAUAUAAUAUAAUAAUAUAUAAUAUGUAUAUUAAUUAUAUGUACAUAGAGUUUAGGUUAUUGGACAUAUAUUUGUUGGCCUACAAAGCCAAACUAGCAAAAUUCUAUUCUAAUUACUUUAUCUUUUUCUCUUUCACUUGCUAGCAGUGUCGUUUUUUCUAAAUUAUUUUUUUUUAAUAUUAUAAUACCGUAUUUGAUGUAUUUAUUUUAUUUGUUGAACUAUUAUAUAUAUUUUUGCAUCAAAUUUUAAAUAAUAUUUAUAAAAAUUAAAGUAUAAAUUGCAUGAUUUAAGAUUUCAAGUGGUUCAUUUUAGAUUCAAACUUGCUCCACUCGAAAUUAGGUUCGUUCGAACUCGGCUCCAAUUAAUUCUAAGCCAAACUUGAGCAUAAAUUAAAAUUAAAAUUAAUCUUAAAUUAAACUUGA